ACCGAAGCUCGUGGCGAUUUACGGCAACUUGCGGCCACGUAAAACAUUUCGCUAAAAAGCCACGUCCCGGGGCUU
rnacentral:ncRNA from 2 species